rnacentral:rRNA from 1 species
GACGAACGCUGGAGGCGUGCUUAACACAUGCAAGUCGAACGAUGAAAUGGAGCUUGCUCCAUGGAUUAGUGGCGAACGGGUGAGUAACACGUGAAUAACCUGCCCUUAAUUUUGGAAUAACCCAGGGAAACCUGGGCUAAUACCGGAUAAGUAAACCUGUGGCAUCACAUGGUUUUGGAAAGUUUUUCGAUUAAGGCUGGAUUCGCGGCCUAUCAGCUUGUUGGUGAGGUAAUGGCUCACCAAGGCGACGACGGGUAGCCGGCCUGAGAGGGUGAACGGCCACACUGGGACUGGGACACGGCCCAGACUCCUACGGGAGGCAGCAGUGGGGAAUCUUCCGCAAUGGACGAAAGUCUGACGGAGCAACGCCGCGUGAGUGAUGAAGGCUUUCGGGUCGUAAACUCCUUUUAUAGUAAUAGAGAUGUUAUUAAGAAUAAGUGACUGCUAACUCUGUGCCAGCAGCCGCGGUAA